UAGAUGCGAGAGUAGAGCAUAUCAAUAAGCGGAGGAAAAGAAACUAACAAGGAUUCCCCUUAGUAACGGCGAGUGAAGCGGGAAGAACUCAAAUUUGAAAUCUUCAAGGUUCUACCUUGACGAAUUGUAGUUUAUAGAAGUGUUUUCUGUUAGUAGGAGUGGCAAAAGUUCUUUGGAAUAGGACAUCAUAGAGGGUGAGAAUCCCGUAUUUGGUCAUUCCUCCUAGCGUUGUGAUACACUUCCAACGAGUCGGAUUGUUUGGGAAUGCAGUCCAAAAUGGGUGGUAAAUUUCAUCUAAAGCUAAAUAUUGGCGAGAGACCGAUAGCGAACAAGCACCGUGAGGGAAAGAUGAAAAGAACUUUGAAAAGAGAGUUAAACAGUACGUGAAAUUGUCAAAAGGGAAGCGUUUGACACCAGUGUUGUUUUUCCGAAAAUCAAUUACGAAUGUUUUAUUUUUGAGAAGUUAUGACUUCAUCGGCUUGCUCCUUUCUUUAUGAAACUUUCUUAAUGCACUUUUCGGUUAACAAGUCAACAUCAAUUUCCUUUGUUGUAAAAGGGUAUGAGGAAGGUGGCUUUCUUUUCGGAGAAAGUGUUUAUAGCCUUGUACCUCUGCAAUCGGAGAGAUUGAGGUCUGCAGCGUAGAUCCUUCGGGGUUAGGAUACGUUUGUGCUAAGUUAUAGCUUUUCAUAGACAACUUGUUGACUAUGUUUAGUCUUGUAGCUUACUCGCUUACGCUAUUUUACCUACGCUUAGGAUGUUGACGAGACUGUCGAUCUC
rnacentral:rRNA from 1 species